GACGAACCGAGCGAACGUUGUUCGGAAUCACUGGGCCUAAAGGGCGCGUAGGCGGGCUGCCGCGUCCGGGGUGAAAUCCUCCGGCUCAACCGGGGAAGGGCCUCAGAUACGGGCGGCCUGGAGGGGGGUAGGGGCGUGCGGAACUGUGGGUGGAGCGGUGAAAUGCGUUGAGAUCCACAGGAACUCCGGUGGCGAGGGCGGCACGCUGGACCCCUUCUGACGCUGAGGCGCGAAAGCCAGGGGAGCGAACGGGA
rnacentral:rRNA from 1 species